AUUGAACGCUGGCGGCAUGCCUUACACAUGCAAGUCGAACGGUAACGGGCCUUCGGGUGCCGACGAGUGGCGAACGGGUGAGUAAUGUAUCGGAACGUACCUUUCAGUGGGGGAUAACGUAGCGAAAGUUACGCUAAUACCGCAUAUUCUGUGCGCAGGAAAGCAGGGGAUCGCAAGACCUUGCGCUGAUUGAGCGGCCGAUAUCAGAUUAGCUAGUUGGUGAGGUAAAGGCUAACCAAGGCGAGGAUCUGUAGCGGGUCUGAGAGGAUGAUCCGGCACACUGGGACUGAGACACGGUCCAGACUGCAUCGGGAGGCAGCAGUGGGGAAUUUUGGACAAUGGGGGCAACCCUGAUCCAGCCAUGCCGCGUGAGUGAAGAAGGCCUUCGGGUUGUAAAGCUCUUUCGGCCGGGAAGAAAUCGUAUCAGCUAAUACCUGGUGCGGAUGACGGUACCGGCAUAAGAAGCACCGGCUAACUACGUGCCAGCCGCCGCCGUAACAC
rnacentral:rRNA from 1 species